AGACACCAUCAGAAAUGGCCAGGUAAGCGGGCUGCCAAUUAAAAACCACCGGUCUGGUUUACUUUAGACACCAACUGGUUUAAUUAGUUUCGAUUCGAUCAACCUAACAGUUCGUGCUAGACCGCUUAGCCAAGAAUCAAGUCCAUUUGGUUCUCGUUAAAGACAUGGACUUGACCAACUACAACUAUUGUAAUUGAUCUAGA
rnacentral:lncRNA from 1 species